AGCCUACCAUAACUAGUAAAACUAUGGUUUCAAGUGAAAUCGUGUGAGGAACCCCAAUCCAUAAAUUGUCUCAAAGCAAAGCAGCUGUAGUUAAAGUCUUACCCGUCUAGUCUCUAUUGCUUACUAUCUGUGACAAUCCCAGAAGCACCCAGUGGAAGCCUGUGGCUCCAUGACCAGUUUGAAUAGCGCCAAUUUAUACCUGAAGAGAGGACACCGUUUGGAAACAAACCCAACCACACAUUCUCACUUUCCAUUAUAUUCUUCAAUGAAACCUGAUGCCUCUUCAUGCUUAUCAGUGAGCCCCAUGGCAUAAGAGACCUUGUUCGUCUCGCCCUGAAUCACCAAGCUCUGAGGUACUCAGUGUUUGUUGAAUGAAUGAAUAAUCAAUAGUGAAUGAAAAAUCCUUAGGCAGCAUCCGUUUCCUGUUUCCCUGCUCACAGUUAUUCAUGAGUCAAGCCUAUGAAUCAGCAUUAUUGGAAAAAGAUAGAAAUGGAGUCGUGCCACUUUGCACCCCCUAUCUCCAGUCCCAAACCAUUCAUACACACAUACACACACUGAACUGCCUGUCCGCAUAGAACGUAUUGUUUGAAAUCUUGGUCAUGGACAUCUUAUUUGCGCAUCAUGGAAAUACACCGGUAUUGUGAUAUCUUUCUCUUUGUUGCCCAGAACCUCAUUCCUGAAGGCAAGAUCAGAAAUGGGAGAGAGAACGUUACAGGCGAAGGUGCUUGACAGGCGAUACAGACGAGGACGCUACGGCCUGAAGAACAGAAGGCACUUAUCCGAACUAGAUCCUGGAGAGAGGCUGCCUGCGUUUCAAAGCCUGGCCUUUGGCUUUCAAAAUAAUAGCGACGUAAAUGUGCCGGACAUCUUUUUCCUCGGGAGCACGGAGAACUUUCCAGGCAUGAUCUCAUUCUGUCUUCAGACAUCCCCCAAUGAGGCUGACUGAGGAAGACAGCAUUCACGGCGGCAGCAUUACAGGCCCGUUUGACUCACCUCAACACCUCUGUCCUCUGUCGCACCCCCGUGUCCCCCCCCCCCCCGACGCUGCUGAGAAAACCGAGGCCGGCCGAAGGGAUGCGACAGUUUCUCUCCCCUUUCUCCUCACUCGGCGGGUACCGCUUUCCUCUGUUCAGAAGAAGGAAUCAUACGAGGGCUGUUCACAGUAAUGCUCAUGCCCGUGUGCCAGGCGCGGGGCUAAGCACUGAUGUGUGAUUUCAUUGAACCCUGCAAACAACCCCGUGAGCAGACUGACGGGGAGAACUCCCGAAGAGUCCCGGAGCGGAGGUCCGGCAUGACACUAGGGACCUGCUCAACCAAGAAGACUUGCAUUGGAUUGCGACAUGGGCAACAACCCCAUUUUGAUACUCAGGCACCAGCAUAUAUUAUGAUAAAAAUCUGGGCAACAGAAUGGAUAUAUGACGUCAAGGAAGAACAGGAACUAUGUAUAUUUAAAGUAGAUAAUGUUUAGGGGGAAGAAGCGGGAUGUCAUUUGCCAAAGGACUACAAAGAACAGGCAAGCGGAAUUGCGUGGACAGUAGAUGCCAACCUGGAACUGAGACUGAUCGAAGGACCCUAUGAAACCUCCUGCUGCCUACCUGGCAGGAAGAAGGAAAUAAAACAGGGGAGAGAAGAUAUCCUGGAUUUUCUAAGUAUUUACUUAGAGAAGGCUGAAAAAAGGAUAUAACCCAGAAAUGACAGAGUUUACACUGAAUUGCCCAAGAAGAAGAUUAAACCCCAAAGAAAGAGGGACCCCUAUUCUGCUGUUUCCCUUUGUCGAUGAACUGGUGUGAGAAAAACCCAAGCCCGGGAUUCCUGAAAUAGGUCUGAUCAGUUAUCUUUAGAGGAUGUGUGGACUUUGCACCCCCACUGAUGACCCAAGGUCGACAGUUGAUUGGGUGAGUGGUUUGCUCUUGUCUGUCCCAUCGGGCUUAUUUAUAUGAUCACAGAUCACAGCUUCUUUAUAUGAUGAACAGGCAGCCUCUGAAAAUACAGGCUCCUACUCAUUAGUGUGUUCCUGCCCACAUCAGAGCUCCUGUUUGUGUCUCCAUCCCUCUCCUCUUCCAUGCUCUUCCUCCUCCUUUGGGGGGAUGCAGAAAGGUACAGGAGCUGGAAUUACGCCAUGUGUGUGUAAAAGUGCUCACAGUUGCGGUGAUCAUGGCUAACUUUCUAUAAGCAACGAUGUUCCAGAACCGCACCGAAAACAUGAACUUUCCUGAGAAUACCACACGUUUGGAAGGGGCAGGGAAUUAUGUAGUGCCGGAACAUGAACUGUGAGGAAGGCAGAAGAAGGAGGCCGGAUGCUUGGGUGACCAACCUCCCCUGUGUGCCUGGGACUGUCCAGACUUUUGUGCUGAAAUUCCUCCGUUCUGAGCAAGCCCUCGGCCUGGGCAAUCCAGAAUGACUGGUCACACUCCCGUGUUCCCUCUCACCCUUCUGUUUCCAGAGCUUACGAUCUCUUUUCUCACCCUUCAUGCUGUUCUUGUAAUUCAGCUUAGGGGGAUGAUGGGAUGUCCUUUCCAAAGGACUGCAUCCUAACGCCCUAGCCCUGUGACCAUAGCCUUUCUCUGCUGCUACACGUGAUAGAUGGCCUUCAGAGGCACGACCUGUACUAUAGACAACUACCCUGUGCUCGGGGCUAGCACAGCCAGGGCUGGGGGUCCUUAGGGAUCACUUUCCAAGAUACCAGAAGAUGCGCUGUUCUUUCUUUGAAGCCCCAACUUCUCCUCUCCAUCCUCCUGGACC